UACGGAGGGAGCUAGCGUUGUUCAGAAUUACUGGGCGUAAAGCGCGCGUAGGCGGCUUUGUAAGUUAGAGGUGAAAGCCCGGGGCUCAACUCCGGAACUGCCUUUAAGACUGCAUCGCUUGAAUCCGGGAGAGGUGAGUGGAAUUCCGAGUGUAGAGGUGAAAUUCGUAGAUAUUCGGAAGAACACCAGUGGCGAAGGCGGCUCACUGGACCGGUAUUGACGCUGAGGUGCGAAAGCGUGGGGAGCAAACAGG
rnacentral:rRNA from 1 species